UGGGGAAUAUUGCACAAUGGGCGAAAGCCUGAUGCAGCGACGCCGCGUGAGGGAUGACGGCCUUCGGGUUGUAAACCUCUUUCAGUAGGGAACAAGGCCAGGCAUUGUCUGGUUGAGGGUACUUGCAGAAGAAGCGCCGGCUAACUACGUGCCAGCAGCCGCGGUAAUACGUAGGGCGCAAGCGUUAUCCGGAAUUAUUGGGCGUAAAGAGCUCGUAGGCGGUUUGUCGCGUCUGCCGUGAAAGUCCGGGGCUCAACUCCGGAUCUGCGGUGGGUACGGGCAGACUAGAGUGAUGUAGGGGAGACUGGAAUUCCUGGUGUAGCGGUGAAAUGCGCAGAUAUCAGGAGGAACACCGAUGGCGAAGGCAGGUCUCUGGGCAUUAACUGACGCUGAGGAGCGAAAGCAUGGGGAGCGAACAGG
rnacentral:rRNA from 1 species